UUUUUUUAUUUUUUUUUUUUUUAAAAAAAAAGCAAGAAUAGAAAUUAAUAAAACUGAACCCAGAAAUUUCUAGAGAUGUUAAAAACAAGUGAUCUGUAAAAAAAACAACCCAAUUUCCAGCUUACGGAGCUAAUUAAUAAUGAAAAGCAAACCCAAAAAGCCUUAGCAGCCAAAUUCUAUUAAAAAAAUCAUAAAAACCCACAAGCAAUUCAAGGAAAUUUAGCGAAAUUAAGUACAAGAACCACAAAUUUAAUGAGGAACAAAAAGAAAGCCAAUUCUAUCUCCA
rnacentral:misc_RNA from 1 species